AGUGUGCGCGUGUGCGCGUGUGUGUCCCUGUUGGUCGGACUCAGGUUUACUUGGCAGGGACGAGGAGCUGCAGACUGACGCGAUCGAAGCAACUUGAGACGAUUACCAGAAGAUCUCCGUCGUCCAAGGUUAGCUUCCAAGUAAUGAAACAAGGUCCACUGACGCUCAUCCCAGCUGACCUCGGGCAAGAAGCAGGGUGAACCCUGGAUUGAUAGGAUUGAUCGGCCGUCAAUUGCAGGAUGUUCAACCCUCUUUGGAAAACUGAAUGAAGAUAGCCGCAGGAGGAGAAGAAAACGAACACAGCAGAAAGAGGCCUGGAGAGAUAGACGAAGAUAUUGAGUCGUGUGGGGGGGAAGAGACUGACACCUGCCCUCCGGCGCAGUCAAGGGCACAGAUUGAAAGAGUGACAGGUGGGGCAUGAAAAGAGGGGAAACAGCAGAGAGAAUGAAGACAGACGGAAAACAAGACCUGCCUCACAGCAAAUCUUGCUCCAAUUAGGACAUCUUCCCACAAGACAAGAUGAUUACACGUAAUCUUCUUCUGUUGGUUGGUAUGUGCCUGUGGGAUGGGCUGUCAGGAGGGGUUUUUGCCAGCAAGGUUGUGUGGAUGAGAGGAGUAGGCGGGUCACGCAUGAUGAAGAUGGAGGAGAACAAAGCUGUGGACCAAUGGGAAGCAAGCAGGGACACGAAUGCAUUGCCAGUGGUGACGCUCAGAAAUCUGAUAAGUCAUGCACAGCCAGGUGACAGCGGAUCUCUGUCCUACGCCAAAGAACUCCCCAAUCACGCCACUCCAUCAGCUGCCAUCAAAGAAAGGCUAGCUUUCAAGCCUAAGCGUGAGGUCGAUUCCGUUAGCAAGAAAGAGGUCACUCACCACAAGGAGUUAAGUCAGAAUUCGAAGAAAGCUAAGAACACGACAAAGAAUGUUGAGACUAAAACAGGAAAAGCAAUCACAUUGCAUCACAAGCUAGACUUGCAUUCCAAUAAAACCCGAUUCAGAUCAAGUUCAAGAUCCAAAAGCAGACCCGAUUUGAACGUCUACACAACAGGCGUUCCAGGGAAGGGGAUAAGCAUUGAAUUAAACCGAAAACUGAACCUCAGCGGAAGUUCGGAAGUUCUGAAAGUGCUGUCAAAAGAAAACCUUGUGAGGAUUGUCAAUUCCCAAAUGCAGAAUGUUCCCAAUUUGAACUUUCCCAGCAAGGGCAGCCGGAGUAGAAAGAGAGAUUUGAUUGACGUUAAUCAAGGACAGUUGGAGGCUAUGAAAAUGUCAAGACAAGAUAUGUCUGUCACUCAGUCACAUGCUGGAUCUGAUAAUCAGACCGCAUUUCCAUAUAAAAAUCCGGUCACCACUCCUGAUUUUAAUCAGGACCACAGCACUGACACAAUCAAUCCAAAAGUGGAGGUCCCAGGUUUAGGUAAAGUGCAGGAAAGUUUCGGAAUGCAAGCGUCAGAUGGUUUUGAAAACAAGAGAAAACAGGUUCUAUUCAGGUCAACCCCUCUUGACGCAGUCAGUCUCAGCUCAGAGAAAGAAGUAACGAUCAACCCAACAGAAUCACCACUCAAACUGACAAAACAUUUCCCACUGUAUGUCCCCACGGAAACAAAUGGCUCUACUCCAUCUGUGCUGACAAUGCAGCCCCAAGGAAUCAGACCUGGGAACAGAACAGCAGAUUCCCAUAGAGACCCAUUAACAGAGUCAGUUCACACUGCUCAAACAGAGCUCAGCGCAACUCACUACUCAGCAGAUGAAGAGAAAACACUUGUCAACAGCAGUCAUAUCCUGAGGCUCCAUCCAGCUCCUGAAUGGAGCCACGUUGCAAAAGGUGCUGGGAUGCAGGUGGAUGAUCCAGAAAAUGGGAAUGGACUUGUGUUUGAAGAAGCAGAGUCAGAAGACGAGGUGGUUGAUUUCGUGGAAGAGAAGAGGUCACGCUCACGCAGCAGGAGAAGUUGGAUUUGGAACCAGUUCUUUGUCAUUGAAGAAUACGCCGGCCCCGAACCUGUUCUCAUUGGCCGGCUUCACACGGACAUGGACAGGAAUGAUGGACGCACUAAAUAUGUCCUGAGAGGCGAAGGGGCGGGCUCUGUCUUUGUGAUCGAUGAGAAGACAGGUAACAUCCACGUCACAAAGCCACUGGACCGUGAGGAGAAGGAUGAGUACCGUCUCAUUGCCACGGCCACUGACAGGCAGACGGACCGUGCCCUGGAGCCCUCAUCACAGUUUAUAAUUCGGGUGCAGGACAUCAACGACAACCCGCCUGUCUUCGACGAAGGCCCCUACAGCGCCACGGUGCCUGAGAUGGCAAAUAUAGGCACUUCUAUCAUCCAGGUGACAGCGACAGAUGCAGAUGACCCGACUUACGGGAACAGUGCCAAACUGGUGUACACGCUGGUGCAGGGCCAACAGUACUUCUCAGUCGAUCCCCAGACAGGUAUUCUACGCACCGCUGUCCCUGACAUGGACAGGGAGACCCAGGAUCAGUACCUCGUGGUCCUUCAAGCCAAGGACAUGGGAGGCCAUUUAGGAGGAUUAUCUGGGACCACCACCGUCACAGUCACCCUCUCUGACGUCAACGACAACCCUCCACGCUUCACUCAGAGUAUGUGGUCCUUCUCUGUAUCCGAGCUGGCCGUCCCAGGUGCUGAAAUAGGACGUAUCUCAGCAAGUGACGCUGACCUCGGUGACAACGCCAAGCUGGAGUAUACAAUUCUGGAGGGGGAGACAGGCGACACGUUUAACAUCACGGGAGUAAAGCAAGAGGCGGUCAUCACUCUGAACAAGGCUGUAGAUUAUGAAAGCCGCAGCUCCUACUCUUUCUCUGUGGAGGUCCUCAACCCCACCGUGGACCCUCGCUUCUUGCGCCGAGGACCUUUUAAAGACCGGGCCUCGAUCCGAGUAGCGGUGUUGGAUGCCGAUGAACCACCAAGGUUUUCCAGGGCGCGGUACCACAUGGAUGUGUCUGAAAACUGCCCUCCAGCCUGCACUGUGGGCCGAGUCAGUGCUGUAGACCCAGAUACUGGUCUGACUAAUAAUAUCAGGUUCUCCAUUGACCCGCAGUCAGACCCAGAGGCUUUAUUUCGUAUCACCCCGGACACCGGCCUCAUCACGACAGCAAUGGAACUAGAUCGGGAACGUGAGCACUGGCACAACAUUACUGUCAUUGCCACCCAGAGAGACAACCCCAGCCAGGUGUCCAGGGUUGUGGUGGCAGUAGAGACGUUGGACCUUAAUGACAACGCUCCCGAGCUGGACAGGCAAUACACAACGGCCAUGUGCGACUCAUCCACCAUCGGGCAGGUGGUGCAGGUGUUGCGGGCGAUUGAUAGAGAUGAAGGCGGGAAUGACAGCACCGUGUAUUUCAGCAUCCCUCCGGAGUCGGGCGCCGCCCUCAACUUCAGCGUCAGGGACAGCGGCGGUCCCACAGCCAGCCUGGUGUUACUGUCCCAGUUGCAGCCACUGUCCCGAUCUCCAUCCUCCACCCUCACGCUCUAUGUGCCUCUGCUUUUAAGAGAUGGGACAUCGGGUCUCACCAGUACUGGCACGGUCACUGUGUCAGUCUGUCCCUGCCUGAGAGGCGGGGCCAAGACCGGGGAGAAGGGCAAACAAGCAGAGAGUGAAUGGGACUGGGAAAGAGAAGCAGUGUGUCUUCCUCAGCAUUCCACACUGCCUUCACCGGGGCUCAGCACUGCCGCCCUGCUGGCCAUACUAGCUUGUGUUGCAACACUCCUGGCGGUGAGUGCCCUGUCAUUGUCGCUGCGGCGUCAGAAGCGGGACUCCCUGUCACCGCUGGAGGAUGAUGACGUCCGUGAGAACAUCAUCACAUACGACGAUGAAGGCGGCGGUGAGGCCGACACGGCUGCCUUUGACAUCGCAGCACUCCAGAGCGCCCCCCACAGCUCGCGUUCACGCGGCUAUCGCACGCUGGACAGCAGGAACAUACGCUACGGCCAACGUAGCCAAGAAAAAGGUCGCAUGUACAGCUGGACUCAGAAUCCGGGCGUCGAUCACAACUACUCAGGCCCGGGUGGACCCCUUUAUGGCCGCCUCUGCUACAGCAGCCACACAUUACCAGUUCUACGCCGCACACCAGGUGGAACAUUCGAACCGGGCCUGGCAGAGCUGGGAUACCGUUUUCCUGGAGGCCAACCAGACCAAUCGUUGGUCAUCCAAAACCAAGGUGCCAUGGUUGGCCCAAUGGACUCAGGGGCUGUGUAUAUAACCCCCACAGAUCUCAGCACAGGAAGCCGGACCGGAAGUCAUGCGGGCAGCCGCGACGGGACCGCAACCCAGAGUGGUGUGAGCACGUCGGAUGAAGGAACACCGCGGACUGGUGACAGCCAGGAGAAACGACGAGGGAUGGGAACUUCGAGCAACUGCACUGAGGAGAGCAGUGAAGACAAAGCGAACCACAAUCAAGAUGUGGACUGGCACGAUGAAGGAGGAACUCGUCUGUUGUGAUCCACCCAGAUUCAAGGCUUGUAAGGACUGUGAUUGAGGACAGUGUGAGUUCUCCAGCCCACUGAAGCUUCUGGGCCUGAGUCUCACCGAUGGUCUCGGGACACCCUGGAGUGGGAGAAAUGUCUCCCUGUCACCCCGGUGGAACUGGAGGAAGUGGCUGGAAACAUCUGGGUGUUUUGGACUUCACUACUGGGGCUGCAAGACCUGGACCUGGAUAACCUGAAGAAAACGGAUGGAUAGGAAAACUAUUUCCCCUACAUUAUGUUUUUGGUGGAAAUUGAAUAUCCUGUUCCAUAGUCUAACUGUCCCCAUCAUAAAACCUUUCAAAAUGUUGAAGCAACAUUUUAACAAUCAUAGGUUUAAAUACGAAAGUCAAAUAACUCAAAUGCUAUGUGAGACUAAGUAAAAGGAACAUUAAAAAAUACAAGGAAAAAGGAAAAGCUGCUCUAGUCUGAGUCUCUCCCAUAUGUUCAAGCUCCUCACCACAUCUCUCUCAGAGGAAGCUCAUUUCACCCACUUGUAUCCGCGAUCUUGUCCUGAGAUGACUAUCCAGUGUGUGACCAUGAGGUGAAGGUGGGAGCUCAGGCCUCUCUUCACCAUGAAAGUCUAAUACAGUGACCUGACAAUGCACUGAUCUGUACAUCAAUGAUCCUCGCACGUGAAAAAGACCCCGAGAUACUAACCGCUUGGGAUGUAAAUCUCUUUCUGAUAGACAAUUCUAUUCAAAUCUAGAUCCACGGUUUAUGAUCCGAAACCAAUAUAUUUUAAAAACAGAACGAUUCCAUUUGAUUCUACGGUUAAUGUUGUCAAACGUAUUUAUUGUUUAGACACAGACCAAAAAAAAGACUUGCUGAAUGAACAUAUUUGUCUUUGAUGGGAUCAAUAUUUUAUAUUCUACAUUUUUAUACCUGUUAUAUUUGGGACAUUUAAGUUUAAACAUGUCUUAGUGUUGUUAGAAAUGGAAGUGGAGCCGCCAAACUAAGUUUGGUUAUAUACUGCGUGCAAUGACAAUAAACAUCUGUCUGUCUAUCUAUCUAUCUACAGUAUCUAUCUAUCUAUCUAUCUAUCUAAAAUAUAACAAUGAAGAAGUACAAGUCCAAGCCUUAAGUGCAAUCAAUAAUACACAAUAAAUAAAUUGUGCAAAACCCUUUAAAUAAUGACACAUCUUUUCAAAAGGGUAAAAAUGUGUCCAAGCACAGAUAAGUAAAUAGAAGUAUUUGUCACAUGGGUGCAAUGACACUGCUGUGUUCGCUUGAAAAAGUAAACAAUCUCAUACACAAAAUGUCAUAACAGUAGUAAGCGUGCAACAUUUCAGACUGAGCAUGGACUUUUCAACACUCCAGUUAGCUAACACAGGUGGAACAUUUCAAAGUAAACAAGUUACAAAGCAAAAAAGGUACCAAACUCGCCUCUGUUGGUCUGGCUGCUCAAGUUUUGGCCCCUUCUUGUAAAAUCCAAAGAUGUUCCAAACUUUACAAAAAUUUUUCACGGUGGCUAGCGAGCUAGCACUAGCUAUCGUGCCUGCUACUAUUUACAUCCAUUCUCGUCUUCAGUCAUGGUAAGCUAUGGAGCAUGCCUGACAAUCCUUUCCCCGGCAGCCCAGGCUCUCACGUUGUGUAAAAGACACUCUGUCAACCAAUUGCUUUUCUCUCGUGAAGCAUGUCUCCACAAUUGAUUAUUGUAAAGAUUUAUGGCUGAUUCUUUUUGAUACAGGAGGCUGCUAUAGGAGGCUGCUACAGGCGAUGCAGCCGAAUCGUUCGCAUGUCUUACCGGAUAUCCGGUCGCAUCGGUUUAUUGUUCACAACCCUACUAACCACCUUUUUCCGAUUGAGCACAAUGACCUCUGGUUUGGAGGUGCUGAUCCUUCUCGAACCAGUCAAGAUAGUUAACCUUCAACUGGGGACUACAUCCUAGUUACAAGGAACGAACGAAACUGCACUUAUCAGCUAAAAUGUUCUUAACCUCUCUAUAAUUGUAAUAUUGUCAUAACACUAAUAAUAAUAAGCGCCGUCAUUGCGAUCGCUUUGGUGGCUUGUUCUGUGUGCUCCCAAACGCGUCACUGUGACAAUAAUGAUUUCGUUAAGUAAGUGACCUCUUAUGUAAUAUUGCUCUAGCGUUCAUCACCUCGCCAUCCCUGAGGUUGUAUCCUCACCUCCAUUUAGUCCCGCAUCCUCGUGCUCUCUCGCUCAAGCGUUUAGCUCUUCAGAGUUUACCGGCUCAUUAGAAGUGGAAAAUUAAAAUCUUCAUUAACAAUCUUAAUUACACUUCGAUCUCCCCAUAGCAAGCCGACAGGGAAUCCAUAGUGUAACAGGGGGAAACCUGCGGCAGGAGUUGGUUUCGGCUAGGUGGGGGGGAUUAGAGGCCUAAUUAGUGAACGGGAAUUGACGGUAAAAUAGACUUAAGGUAUUUACACCUCAGAAGCAGGACAAAUGGGUGGAUGCGGUCGAUAAUUAACACGCCCCCCGGUUGAUGGUGGAUCCUCAGAUGAUGGAGGAGAAAGCGUGAGACCAAUGUUGGGAGCAUGCAAUUUUCAUUUCUGCCACGCUUGCAAAAUGGGGCUUGGUAGGAAGCCGACUAGGGGGAAGGGAAAGCUGAAAAAGGGGGCAUGAUUUGUCACAAACCUCCACUGAAAUUGUCUUCUUGUCUUGCUUUGUGGUGACAUCGUGUUACCUGAGGCGACAUAAUCCCUUAUCAUGCUUCCAUAAGCAUCGAACGUUUGCUUAAUACCAACCUUAACAUGCUGCUGCUUAGUAUGUGGUCUGAUGCACUGUCUCUCUGUUGCUUACAUUACAGCAGUGGUUCAAAAUGAUUAUCUGUCACGCCCCCGCUAGCAGACAGAAUUUUUUUCCCAGGCCCCCCUUGAAUUGAAACACUAUUGACAACCUGAUAAUAUCCAUCCAUUUCCUAUGAGGUUUAUCCUCACUUGGGUCGCGGGUAUACUGGAGCCUAACCUGAUAAUAUGUAUUUAUUUAUCUGUACAAACCACUGAAUGAGUUGCUGGCACCAGAAUUCUGCAUACUGAAUAUCUGAAUAUCAAAAUACUGUAGAUUAAUGAAAUUAGCCGAGUUCACACCCGCAACAACUUCCUAGUUAAAUUUAUUAACAUAAUUUGUAACAUUUCAACUAAACUUGCGGCAUCUUCAGUGAUGUGCACAGUGAUGUUUUGGUGAAGAGGGAGCUGAGUCAAAAGGUAAAGCCCUCAAUUUACCGGUCCAUCUACGUUCCUCCACUCCAUUCGGUAGUGACCAAAAGGACGAGGGCAAGCAGCCGAAAUGAGUUUCCUCUGUAGGCUGGGUGGGAUCUCCCUUAGAGAUAAAAUGAGAAGCACUGUCAUCGAACUCGGAGUAGAACUGCUGUCGAGGCCCCAGGUGCCCCAAGUUGAGGAGUUUAAGUACCGUGGGGUCUUGUUCACUAGUGACGGAAGGAUGGAAGAUCGACAGGCGAAUUGGUGCAACGUCUGCAGUGAUGCGGACUCUGCAUGAGUACCGGUCGAGGUACGUUCUUACCCUCACCUAUGGUCAUGAGCUUUGGGUAGAGCCCGAAAGGAGAAGAUCGCCGG